GCUCCGGUGGCUUAAUGGUUAGAGCGUCCGCCUCGGAUGAGGGAGGUUGUGGGAUCGAUCCUCAAUCGAGUCA